CGUUCGCAGGUAGACGUUUUCGAUGCGUGACUUUCUCGCUUCUAUUAGAAGGCAUAAAGAAUGUUUUUGAAGACAAAUUCGUACCCUCGGUAAAGCGGUAGGACAACAAAAAAAUAACAAAAGGGAACAUGCAAGAACGCACGCGGUUUUUUCUCGACUUCUUUUAUUUCAUCACUUGCGUUUUGAAGCCGGUGAAAAUUGUGCGUUUAUCUGUGCCCUCUGCCAACAAUUGUGAAAAAGUGAAACUUAAGUGCCUAAAACCGUUUAUUUUACCACUUCUUCAAACUAAGGAGAACUAAACGCACUGACGGCAUUCUCCAAAGGAAAGAAUCGCAUUUACUCGGUCUCCUGCCUUGCAAGGAAACAUGCAGACACCGACAGGAACGACGGCAACAACAUCCCCGAGAAAAACAACAACUACAACCACGACAAGGAUUUCCUCAUAGAC